rnacentral:rRNA from 1 species
UAGUGGCGAACGGGUGAGUAACACGUGGGCAAUCUGCCCUUCACUCUGGGACAAGCCCUGGAAACGGGGUCUAAUACCGGAUACGACUACCGANCGCAUGGUCUGGUGGUGGAAAGCUCCGGCGGUGAAGGAUGAGCCCGCGGCCUAUCAGCUUGUUGGUGGGGUGAUGGCCUACCAAGGCGACGACGGGUAGCCGGCCUGAGAGGGCGACCGGCCACACUGGGACUGAGACACGGCCCAGACUCCUACGGGAGGCAGCAGUGGGGAAUAUUGCACAAUGGGCGAAAGCCUGAUGCAGCGACGCCGCGUGAGGGAUGACGGCCUUCGGGUUGUAAACCUCUUUCAGCAGGGAAGAAGCGAGAGUGACGGUACCUGCAGAAGAAGCGCCGGCUAACUACGUGCCAGCAGCCGCGGUAAUACGUAGGGCGCAAGCGUUGUCCGGAAUUAUUGGGCGUAAAGAGCUCGUAGGCGGCUUGUCACGUCGGAUGUGAAAGCCCGGGGCUUAACCCCGGGUCUGCAUUCGAUACGGGCAGGCUAGAGUUCGGUAGGGGAGAUCGGAAUUCCU